UCCUAAAGCUUUGCCACAGCCUGAUACUCACUGGAAUACUUAAUAUUCUGUUGUUUCUGUAGUGGCCAAACCCUUUUUUUCUGUGACAUGGGAACGCAAGCAUGCCUCCAUCACCACCACCAUCAUCAAUCAAGAAACACUUGCCUCACACCUCCUCUGGAGCACACUGGAUGAAGAAACUGAGACUUGGAGAAGUCAAGGGGCCUGAAGCCAUUUGGCUCCUUAGUAGGUUUUUAUUCGCAACUCCAAGUUUUGGGAAAACCAUCUCAAGAGAAUGAAUGAGAGAGAGCGCACAAGCAAGCUCCCUGCUGAGCAGAGAGCCUGACAUGGACUGGGAUCCCAGGACCUGAGCCAAAGGCAGCCUCUUAACUAACGGGGCCACCCAGGCACCCCAGGGGUUCACUAUUUUAAACAGCUGGUAACACUGCUGUAUAUUUCUACUUGCUGGUUCCUUCUUCCUUUUCAAUAGGAUCCCAAGCCUCCUCUGGGGUAAUCACUUUGUAGCCUUGUUUUGUUUUUUUCUCUUGUCUGUAGCACUUGCCAUGGACUGGCUGUUUGUGUUCCCCAGAUUCAUAUGUUGAAACUCUUAUCCCCCAUGUGAUGGUGUUUGGAGAUGGGGCCUUUGUGAGGUAACUAGGUCAUGAAGAGGCAACCCUUUAGAUAGCAUUAGUGCCUUUAUGAGAAGACACAGGAGAGAGCUUGCUUCCUUUCUCUCUACCAAAUGAGGGUACAGGAUGGACUUUUAUAAACCAGAAAGAGGGGCUUCACCAAGAACCUACCAUGCUGGCACUGUGGUCUCUAAAUUCCAGCCCCCAGAGCUGUGAGAAAGAACUUCUUGUUUAAACAACCCAGUUGUUCCUAUUUUUAGGAUAGCACCCUCAAACGGACAAACCAGCACUCAUGAAGUGUAUUCCACAUGGAGACCAUUCAGAUAAAAAGAGAGUUAUCAAAUUUGUCUUAAGCCCUUUCACGAACUAAACAUAUCCAAUUUCUUUUAGCUAUCCCUCACCUCCCUGUUUUUUUAAAUAUUUCACCUUUCUGUUCAGGUUUGUAGCAAGUAUUUCUCUUUGCCAGUUUCUCUCCUUGACCAGCCAAGGUGAUCCUGCUAAUAUUACUUAACCACUUCCUAACUUGUGCUACAAUAGACGUGUAUAGGCUAUGCCUUCCUACCCAAAAACUCUAAAUUCUAAGACAUUCACAGAAGAAACCCAAUGCAGAAAAAAAGACUCCUCAAAAACAAAGCACUCUGCACAACUCUAUGGGAGAUAAUAAAUUAAAUUAAAUAUUACAUAUAUAUCUCCGCAAUGACUAAUGGAUCAAGUUUCCUAUUUACUUCCUGAAAGAAUGGGCAUGGUUAUUAUUUUUUAAAGUUUGAAAGGACAGAAUCCAAAUGAUAAUAAUAAUAAUAAUUCUGGAGUGAAAGUAUUACAGAUACCUUUUGUUGCUUUUGCUUAUUUGAUACUUCUAAUUUUUUUCUACAAGGAGCCAGUAUUGUUUAUGGAACUCUUUUUAAGACAGCCAGCCUUGUUUAUGUAGCUCUGUUUUAGACUCAAUACUCUGAAACAAUUUGUCAAUUAAUUAUAUGGCGUAGAUGACUUCCAAAUGUUUAAACUCUGGACACUAAAAAAACGUGGAAAUUGUAUUUUAACAUCUUUCAGUAUAAAACAAUUAUAGUUUUAUAAUUGAGACAAAAUCAUGAGAAAUUAUCCAUGACCCUAAAGUACAGGCAAGGAUUCUGAACAAAGAAUUCAUUGGAAACAUUCAAGCAAAAGCACUGCCUCUGGGUACAUUGUUUUAAACUCAUUUCUUUUGGAACCUUACUGUGGAAGAUAUGCAUACAGUGAUGUUAGCCCACGGUAACACGCAACAGAACAUGUAUUAUUAAACUCGGAAUACUUAUAUGCAUCCUUAGACAAAGAUACCCAAAGUAGCUGCCUGAAUUGAGACAUCUGGAGAAUGGAGGCAUUAUGUGUUGACCUAGGAUAAUUUGCUAUGAUGCUGGUGAUUUUCUAUUCAUUUUCUUCAGUAAUUUUCAAAAGACUAUUGUAUUUAAAAACCAAAUUGCUGGCACGAUGCAAUUUGAAAAAAAAAAUGCAUCCAGUACACAAAUUACUGGAGAAAAAUGCUGUCUAUGGUUUCCAAGCAAGUUAGAUCCACAGAAAAUGUCAUGUCAACAUCCUGCAGGGUCAUCCUUUAUGCAUUUGGGGAUGAAUUGAUUACCUCACUACCCAGACUGUCCCGGCAUUAUGAAGCAAAAACUGCCUGUGUGAUGGAAGCUUAUGCAAACAUGGAUUUCUUGUGGUUAACUUCCAAACGUCUCCAGAUUAUUCUUGUGCACUCUUGGAGCUUAUCUCUUCAGCCAGCAGCAGACAAGUAAGUUCAUACACGGUGCGUGUGUGUCCGUUUCUGUUGACA